rnacentral:misc_RNA from 1 species
GCAAACUUGGUCAUUUAGAGGAAGUAAAAGUCGUAACAAGGUUUCCGUAGGUGAACCUGCGGAAGGAUCAUUACUGAACUGUAAGCACGAGUUGUUGCUGGUCCUCAAGUGGGGGCAUAUGUGCACGCUCUGUUCACACAUCCACUCACACCUGUGCACCUUCUGUAGUUCUACAGCUUGGGGGGCUCUGUCUUCCUUCUGUGGUUCUACGUCUUUACAUACACACCGUGACAAAGUCUUGUGGAAUGUGCACCGCGUUUAACGCAAUACAAUACAACUUUCAGCAACGGAUCUCUUGGCUCUCGCAUCGAUGAAGAACGCAGC